rnacentral:tRNA from 1 species
UGGUAUGGAAAAACCUACUAAGUGAGAACUUUCAAAAAGGCCCCUUUAAUUCCCUAAUUUUUUAUCCUAUAUCCUCUAUUUUUUA